GAUGAACGCUGGCGGCGUGCCUAAUACAUGCAAGUCGAGCGAACAGAUGAGGAGCUUGCUCCUCUGACGUUAGCGGCGGACGGGUGAGUAACACGUGGAUAACCUACCUAUAAGACUGGGAUAACUUCGGGAAACCGGAGUUAAUACCGGAUAAUAUAUUGAACCGCAUGGUUCAAUAGUGAAAGACGGUUUUGCUGUCACUUAUAGAUGGAUCCGCGCCGCAUUAGCUAGUUGGUAAGGUAACGGCUUACCAAGGCAACGAUGCGUAGCCGACCUGAGAGGGUGAUCGGCCACACUGGAACUGAGACACGGUCCAGACUCCUACGGGAGGCAGCAGUAGGGAAUCUUCCGCAAUGGGCGAAAGCCUGACGGAGCAACGCCGCGUGAGUGAUGAAGGUCUUCGGAUCGUAAAACUCUGUUAUUAGGGAAGAACAAAUGUGUAAGUAACUAUGCACGUCUUGACGGUACCUAAUCAGAAAGCCACGGCUAACUACGUG
rnacentral:rRNA from 1 species